GACGAACGCUGGCGGCGCGCUUAACACAUGCAAGUCGAACGGAAAGGCCUGCUUUCCCUUGCGGAUUGGGGGUAGUCGAGUGGCGAAGGGGUGAGUAACACGCGAGUGAUCUGCCCCCAACUUGGGUAUAAGCCUGGGAAACUGGGUCUAAUUCUCGAUAGGACUGCAGGGUGGUGCCUGUGGUGGCAAACGAUCUUUUAGUGGUUGGGGUUGCGCUCGCGUCGUAUCAGCUUGUUGGUGGGGUAAUCGCCUACCAAGGCGGCGACGCGUACCCGGCCUGUGAUCGGGCACGCCCACAUUGAGACUCGGUCACGGCCCCUACUCCUACCAGAAGCAGCAGUGGGGAAGAAUGCGCAAUAAGCGGGAGGCAGAUGCAGCGACUCAGCGUGGGGGGUGACCGCCUUCUGGUUGUCUGCUCCUUUCGACCGCGAGAAAGCCACCUGGUUGGGAGGGUGGUGACGGUAGUGGUAGAAGAAGCCCCGGCUAACUACGUG
rnacentral:rRNA from 1 species